rnacentral:lncRNA from 1 species
CCCUUAAAUAACUCCUUCCAGUAACAGGGAGGAGGAUAAUCCCAAACACGGACAAAAGGGACUCUGAGGUUCAUUUCUGUCAGGGUUGUGUAAAAGUCUCACACCCAUCCGUGCGCGAUUAAUGAUGGCAAACGGGAGCUGGGCUGAUGGGUCUCUCACACGGGGUCUGGGCUGGUGGCACAGCUUCCAUCCUUUUAGAGAGAAGCAGAAACAAGUAGUGGUCACGUUUUGCUCAUGCUGGGAAUUACCAGCAGAGCCUAGAGAGAGAGCUGAUCUGGAUUUACCUUGCUGCGUGCGGAUCUGGCCCCGUGGAAUUGUGUUAUUUAAGAACCGUUUUGCAGUCUCCCAGGACCUUUUCUCACACAUUUUCCUGCCUGAUGGUCCUUUGCAUUUCCUAGCCCCAGCUGGAUUGGGCUGGUUGGCCCAUGCUGUCGUGGAUCCCUCUUGGUGCUCCCUUUCAAAGGUCUCAGCAUCCCCAUGCUACCUCCUGCCGGCACUUCCACCUGGGUCCCCAGCCUCAGCUCUCGGCCGACUUCGCCCUGC